UACGUAGGGGGCGAGCGUUGUCCGGAAUCAUUGGGCGUAAAGAGCGUGUAGGCGGCUUGGCAAGUCUGACGUGAAAGCCCGCGGCUCAACCGCGGAUUGUCGUUGGAAACUGCCUCGCUAGAGUCCGGAAGAGGAGAGCGGAAUUCCUGGUGUAGCGGUGGAAUGCGCAGAUAUCAGGAAGAACACCCGUGGCGAAGGCGGCUCUCUGGGACGGUACUGACGCUGAGACGCGAAAGCUAGGGGAGCGAACAGG
rnacentral:rRNA from 1 species